rnacentral:rRNA from 1 species
GAUGAACGCUGGCGGCGUGCCUAAUACAUGCAAGUCGAGCGAACAGACGAGGAGCUUGCUCCUUUGACGUUAGCGGCGGACGGGUGAGUAACACGUAGGUAACCUACCUAUAAGACUGGGAUAACUUCGGGAAACCGGAGCUAAUACCGGAGAAUAUUUCGAACCGCAUGGUUCGAUAGUGAAAGAUGGCUUUGCUAUCACUUAUAGAUGGACCUGCGCCGUAUUAGCUAGUUGGUAAGGUAACGGCUUACCAAGGCAACGAUACGUAGCCGACCUGAGAGGGUGAUCGGCCACACUGGAACUGAGACACGGUCCAGACUCCUACGGGAGGCAGCAGUAGGGAAUCUUCCGCAAUGGGCGAAAGCCUGACGGAGCAACGCCGCGUGAGUGAUGAAGGUCUUCUGAUCGUAAAACUCUGUUAUUAGGGAAGAACAAACGUGUAAGUAACUGUGCACGUCUUGACGGUACCUAAUCAGAAAGCCACGGCUAACUACGUG